AGGGCUUUGUGGAUUGAUUCCAUGAAA
rnacentral:sRNA from 1 species